UUACGGCCAUAUCAGGUUGGAACACCGGUUCCCGUACGAUCACUAAACUUAAGCAAGUUCGAGGCUGGUCAGUACCUAGACGGGAGACCGCUUCUGAAUACCGGAUGCUG